AUUGAUGAGUCAUUUCAUGAUAUGUAACAUAUGGCACUUCAACUCGACAACUCAGCUUACACAACAAGACUGCUUUAUAGCAUAUAUUAGAUGUAAGUGAGGGCUUGUCGGAGCGCACAAUCGCCAAGGAGGUCAGAGGCAAGCUUGAUGUUUCUUCACACAAGUUUCUCAACAUGGAUGAUUGUCUGUUCCUUUCGUCGAGGCGUGAAUUAUUGCGGAUAGGCAUCAUUAACUUGUUGGGGCAAAUUUCUAUAUAAUAGAGCCGGACGCAAAGGUUGCAAACCCGUGCGCCACGUCAACCUUUUUUUUUCUUAGCCACAUGUUCGUCAUCCAACGUUCAUCUUCCAAUGUCCACAAGCCAGCCUCCAUAACACGGGAGCCUUCUAGAAGAAGCUCCUGCAUCGUCGCGCUCGCUGCCUUCCUUUUCUUCGCUCGUGGCUAGGUGUCAAGUGAGGCCCGCACGACGGACAAAGACAAGGUGUGCGUGCUUCUGGCGCUACGGGCCGCGUGCUGGAACGGACGGGCCACCAGCACCCAUCGUGGACGCCUGACCACGCCCCAUGUGUGUUAGCACCUUACAGGAGAUUUGAGGGCGUCGCGUGCGAUGCCCGUUGCGCCGCCGCCAACAUCUCGCUGCAGGGGAAGUAUCUCGCCGGCACGCUCCACCUGCCCUCCCAUGGGUCCGCCCCUGGCCGGCCUCUACCUCAGCUACAACACCCUCUGGCGGCAUCCAGUAGGAGCUGGCUGCGGAUCCCGCAGAUGGCGCCAAGACCGUGCGCAAGCCGGUCUUCACCACCGUCGACCAGCUACAACCCCAGAUGCACAGCCACACUCUUACCAUCCGCGUCAUCUUUGCCUGCACCAUCCUCGACAAAUCCUCCAUGCACAUUGGUCGCACCCGCAUCCCCCAGUGCCUCGUCGGAUACAACACCGACAUCGUCCUCGUCACGCUCGCAACAAUCUGGCAAAUUUGUCAUAGAUACACUCACGGUGUGCUGGUGUGUGUGGAGGAAGAGCCUGACGGAGGCUGAGGAGAGGAAUCAGUAGAGCAAAUGAGCAAGACGAGACAGAUGUGUAGCUGCUGGUGUUUCUCCACUAUCGCGACCUCACUGCUCAAGCAUGGCAUAUAUAGAGUGACGAGAACACCAUGGAAUGGAGUUGUGCUGUUGUGGUGCGGAGUAGGAGCGUCCAAGCGAGGAGAGAAUCACAUGCGAUUUCUCUCAUUGUUGUUGUUCUCGCGUCGUUUCUGAUUCUACGUUGAAACAAAGUGUUUGUCCCAUUAGGGUGUGUUUCCUCGCUUUUUCUCGCACAAGAAUCCAGUAAAAAGUUAUCCAAAUAGGCUCGUUGACUGCUAUAGUCCGUCGAUUCGAUUCUCCCAUCUAUAUCCUUUGUGGUUGCCCAUCCGGCUAUCCCAUUAUUUACCUUUAAAUGAUGUUGUUUUAGUUU